CACGGGGGGAGCAAGCGUUUUUCGGAAUCACUGGGCGUAAAGGGCGUGUAGGCGGUCAGGUAAGUGGGAUGUGAAAGCCCUCGGCUCACCCGAGGAUCUGCAUCUCAAACUGCCUGGCUUGAGUAUGGGAGAGGAUGAGGGAAUUCCUGGUGUAGCGGUGAAAUGCGUAGAUAUCAGGAGGAACACCGGUGGCGAAGGCGCUCAUCUGGCCCAAUACUGACGCUGAGGCGCGAAAGCUAGGGGAGCAAACGGG
rnacentral:rRNA from 1 species